GUGCGCUCGCGUCGGCCCUUGAAAAUCCGAGUGAGAGAGUGUGAUUUUCGUGCCGGACCGUACCACAUCCGCAGCAGGUCUCAAGGUGAACAGCCUCUAGUCGAUGGACCAAUGUAGGUAAGGGAAGUCGGCAAAACGGAUCCGUAACCUUGGGAUAAGGAUUGGCUCUGAGGACUGAGCCGGUCGGGCUGGGGACCUGAAGCAGGAACGGCACUGCACCGGGACUGGGCGGGGCUCGCCGUUCACGCGGCGCGGCCAAGCCCGGACCAGCGUCGGGACCUUCCUGUGGAAAGCCUCAGCUGCGCGGCGUCUGAGGGCUUCGUGCCCAAAGUGCUAUGCUUCGGCCGGCAAAAAACAGUCAACUCAGAACUGGCACGGACCGGGGGAAUCCGACUGUCUAAUUAAAACAAAGCAUUGCGAUGGCCGCUGGUCGGUGUUGACGCAAUGUGAUUUCUGCCCAGUGCUCUGAAUGUCAACGUGAAGAGAUUCAUCAAAGCGCGGGUAAACGGCGGGAGUAACUAUGACUCUCUUGGAGUAACUAUGACUCUACGUCCCGGACAAAGAGGGCCUGAGGUCCCACCCUCACGUCAUGAAGGUCAAAGCCGAGGAAGAAGGAUUUGGAGGU
rnacentral:ncRNA from 1 species